rnacentral:rRNA from 1 species
AUUGAACGCUGGCGGCAGGCCUAACACAUGCAAGUCGAGCGAGCGGCGGACGGGUGAGUAAUGUAUGGGGACUGCCCGAUCGAGGGGGAUAACUACUGUAAACGGUAGCUAAUACCGCAUACUAUCGGAUAACCCAGAUGUGAUUAGCUAGUAGGUGAGGUAACGGCUCACCUAGGCGACGAUCCCUAGCUGGUCUGAGAGGAUGAUCAGCCACGCUGGGACUGAGACACGGCGCAGACUGCUAUGGAGGCAGCAGUGGUGAAGAUUGGACAAUGGGCGGAAGCCAGAUGCAGCCAUGCCGCGUGUAUGAGGAAGGCACUUGGGUUGUAAGGUGCUGUCAGUCGGGAGGCGUUACCGACAGAAGAAGCACCGGCUCACUCCGUGCCAGCAGCCGCGGUAAUUC